GACGAACGCUGGCGGCGUGCCUAAUACAUGCAAGUCGAGCGAAGUUUUUCUGGUGCUUGCACUAGAAAAACUUAGCGGCGAACGGGUGAGUAACACGUAAAGAACCUGCCUCAUAGACUGGGACAACUAUUGGAAACGAUAGCUAAUACCGGAUAACAGUAUUUCUCGCAUGAGAGAUAUUUAAAAGUUGGUUAUGCUAACACUAUGAGAUGGCUUUGCGGUGCAUUAGCUAGUUGGUGGGGUAAAGGCCCACCAAGGCGACGAUGCAUAGCCGACCUGAGAGGGUGAUCGGCCACACUGGGACUGAGACACGGCCCAGACUCCUACGGGAGGCAGCAGUAGGGAAUCUUCCGCAAUGGGCGAAAGCCUGACGGAGCAACGCCGCGUGAGUGAAGAAGGAUUUCGGUUCGUAAAGCUCUGUUGUUAGGGAAGAAUGGAUAUGUAGUAACUAUACAUGUAAGAGACGGUAC
rnacentral:rRNA from 1 species